UAAAUAGCCAGGCCGGCUCUCGCUGGUCGCCGGCUUCUUAGAGGGACUGUCAGCGUCUAGCCGACGGAAGUUUGAGGCAAUAACAGGUCUGUGAUG
rnacentral:rRNA from 1 species